rnacentral:lncRNA from 10 species
UUUCAUUUCCUUGGUUGUUCAGUUUAUGGCAAAAGACCCUCAGCUGUGUUUUGUUUACUAAUUCCCCUAAGCCUGCCUUAAAUCCAGACUGCCAGGGCCACAGGAAAUCUUUCAGACCCCUGACAGUUAGAAAAUUGGCUCCACCUAUGGCAUUCACUGGAGUAGUCAUCAUCUUCUACACCGUGUCAUUUUCCGUGCUUCUUUGUACAUACAUUCUUUCCUAUGCUUUAAGACUGUAUCGUCUAUAGAAGAUGAGUAAUUAUGAUGAAGACUGAAUCGUCACAGCAUUUUGUUGUUGGCGUUCAGGAUCUCACAUUGUCACUCAGGUUGGAGGGCAGUGGUGGGAUCACAGGUCACUGCAUCCUUGACCUCCUGGGCUGAAGUAGUCCUCCCGCCUCAGCCUCCGUGGUAGCUGGGACUACAGGCACAUGCCACUGCACGCAGUGUCUUCCUUUGGCUUUGGUAUCAAGGUAAUGCUGGCCUCAUAAGAUAUGGGGUCUCACUAUGUUGUCCAUGCUGAUCUCAAACUCCUGGGCUCAAGCAAUCUUCCCACCUCAGCCUCCCAAAGUGCUGGGAUUACAGGAGCACAAAGGAAAGGCCAUGCGAGGACACAGGGAGAAGACAGGCCCCUACCAGUCAGGAAGGGAGCCCUCACCAGAAACUGAGCUGGCCAGCACAAUGGUCUUGGACUUGUAGCUCCAGAACUGUGAGGAAAUAAAUUUCUGUUGUUGAAGCCA